rnacentral:lncRNA from 1 species
UUAAAAGUUUUGAGUUGAGUUUAUCAUUAUAAGAAAAUUUAUGCAUAUAUAAGGUAAUCAAACUUCAAAAUCACCAUCUUUAAUGAUCAUAUAUACACGAGGGCGAGGAUUGAUUAAGCUUGGGGAUGUUGAUACGUUAAAAGCGUAUUUGUUCCCUUUGAAGUUAUCAUCCAUGUUUUUAUUUCUUUUUACCAUUUUUUAAUUAGUUAUUGGUUUUAUAUGCAGUUAACAGCCGCCAGACGGUUCCUUCCUUUCUUCGUUAUGUUAUUUUAGGUAAUUUUACAUGUGAGGAAUAAUCCUAGAAAGUUAGGAUGUCAAUAUUUUGGGGUCCUGAAGCAUUACACAUAAUACGGAGUUCAACCGAGUUAGGUGGGACCUAUGAGGGCAGGGCAGGCGCCCCUGACAUUAGAAGGAGGUGAGAAACAACAAAGAGCAAAACAAGUAUAAAUUCUAUUCUGCCACAGGGAAGGUGGAAAUUAAGGGGAAGGCACCGCUAGAAUCACCUCCGGAGCCUUCAUCUGCCUCCCCUCAUCAUUUCGCUACAACUCCAAUGAGUAGGGAUUAUUUCUCCUCUGAACCUCGGGUCCGUGGUAGUAUUAUGUAUCAGAUUAAUCUCUCUACGUUAAAACCAGCUAGGGGCAGAUUAGUUCACCUUCCUUCAUAAUCUUCA